rnacentral:rRNA from 1 species
UACGUAGGGGGCAAGCGUUGUCCGGAAUCAUUGGGCGUAAAGAGCGUGUAGGCGGCUCGAUAAGUCUGCUGUGAAAGUCCAGGGCUCAACCCUGGAAGGCCGGUGGAAACUGUCGGGCUAGAGUCCGGAAGAGGCGAGUGGAAUUCCCAGUGUAGCGGUGAAAUGCGUAGAUAUUGGGAAGAACACCAGAGGCGAAGGCGGGUUGCUGGGCCGACACUGACGCUGAGGCGCGAAAGCCAGGGGAGCAAACGGG